GCCACAACACGUUGAAACACCGGUUCUCAUACGAUCACCGAAGUUAAGUAACGUUGUGCUUGGCCUAGACCUAAAUGGAUGACCGCUUAGGAAUACCAGAUGUUGUAA